AUUGAACGCUGGCGGCAUGCCUUACACAUGCAAGUCGAACGGCAGCGGGCCUUCGGGUGCCGGCGAGUGGCGAACGGGUGAGUAAUGCAUCGGAACGUGCCAUUGAGUGGGGGGAUAACGUAGCGAAAGUUGCGCUAAUACCGCAUAUUCUGUGAGCAGGAAAGCAGGGGACCGCAAGGCCUUGCGCUCUUUGAGCGGCCGAUGUCAGAUUAGCUAGUUGGUGAGGUAAAGGCUUACCAAGGCGACGAUCUGUAGCGGGUCUGAGAGGAUGAUCCGCCACACUGGAACUGAGACACGGUCCAGACUCCUACGGGAGGCAGCAGUGGGGAAUUUUGGACAAUGGGGGCAACCCUGAUCCAGCCAUGCCGCGUGAGUGAAGAAGGCCUCGGUUGUAAGACUCUUGCGGAGAAUCGCAUGGGUGAA
rnacentral:rRNA from 1 species